CUCAUAUCAGACGUGUUAUAAAUGUCCUCCCACCUCUUAUAUCAGACACGUGUUAUAAAUGUCCUCCCAUCCCUCAUAUCAGACGUGUAUAUAAAUGUCCUCCCAUCUCUCAUAUCAGACGUGUUAUAAAUGUCCCCCCAUCUCUCAUAUCAGACGUGUUAUAAAUGUCCUCCCAUCUCUCAUAUCAGACGUGUUAUAAAUGUCCUCCCAUCUCUCAUAUCAGACGUGUUAUAAAUGUCCUCCCAUCUCUCAUAUCAGACGUGUUAUAAAUGUCCUCCCACCUCUCAUAUCAGACACGUGUUAUAAAUGUCCUCCCAUCUCUCAUAUCAGACGUGUUAUAAAUGUCCUCCCAUCUCUCAUAUCGGACGUGUUAUAAAUGUCCUCCCAUCUCUCAUAUCAGACGUGUUAUAAAUGUCCUCCCAUCUCUCAUAUCAGACGUGUUAUAAAUGUCCUC
rnacentral:lncRNA from 1 species